GUGGGUAUAGCUCAGUGAUGGAGAGCAUGCCUAGCAUGCAUGAGGUCCUGGGUUCAAUCCCCAGCACCUCCA
rfam:Camelus ferus unplaced genomic scaffold scaffold841, whole genome shotgun sequence.